rnacentral:rRNA from 1 species
GUCUACAGCCAUACCACCCUGAACGCACCUGAUCUCGUCUGACCUAGGAAGCUAAGCAAGGUCGGGCCUGGUUAGUACUUGGAUGGGAGGAAUGAAGUACAGUGGACC